UACAGAGGGGGCAAGCGUUGUUCGGAAUUACUGGGCGUAAAGGGCGCGUAGGCGGCCUGUUAAGUCGAACGUGAAAUCCCCGGGCUCAACCCGGGAACUGCGUCCGAUACUGGCAGGCUUGAAUCCGGGAGAGGGAUGCGGGAUUCCAGGUGUAGCGGUGAAAUGCGUAGAUAUCUGGAGGAAUACCGGUGGCGAAGGCGGCAUCCUGGACCGGCAUUGACGCUGAACAGCGAAAGCUAGGGGAGCAAACGGG
rnacentral:rRNA from 1 species